AGAGUUUGAUCCUGGCUCAGAACGAACGCUGGCGGCGUGCUUAACACAUGCAAGUCGAACGCGAAAGGGACUUCGGUCCUGAGUAAAGUGGCGCACGGGUGAGUAACGCGUAGAUAACCUGUCUUUGUGUCUGGAAUAAUACUUCGAAAGGGGUACUAAUACCGGAUAACCUUGCUUUUCACAAGUUAUGCAAGCAAAGGUGGCCUCUGAUACAAGCUACUGCAUGAAGAGGGGUCUGCGUACCAUUAGCUAGUAGGUGGGGUAAUGGCCUACCUAGGCGACGAUGGUUAGCGGGUCUGAGAGGAUGAUCCGCCACACUGGCACUGGAACACGGGCCAGACUCCUACGGGAGGCAGCAGUGAGGAAUAUUGCGCAAUGGGGGCAACCCUGACGCAGCGACGCCGCGUGAGUGAGGAAGGCCUUCGGGUCGUAAAGCUCUGUCAAGAGGAAAGAAGUGCAUAAUGGUUAAUACCUGUUAUGUUUGACGGUACCUCUAAAGGAAGCACCGGCUAACUCCGUGCCAGCAGCCGCGGUAA
rnacentral:rRNA from 1 species